rnacentral:rRNA from 1 species
UACGUAGGGUGCAAGCGUUGUCCGGAAUUAUUGGGCGUAAAGAGCUCGUAGGCGGUUUGUCGCGUCUGCUGUGAAAACCCGAGGCUCAACCUCGGGCCUGCAGUGGGUACGGGCAGACUAGAGUGCGGUAGGGGAGAUUGGAAUUCCUGGUGUAGCGGUGGAAUGCGCAGAUAUCAGGAGGAACACCAAUGGCGAAGGCAGAUCUCUGGGCAUUAACUGACGCUGGAGGAGCGAAAGCAUGGGGAGCGAACAGG